GAGGAAAGAACAUGGCCUGGGCUCAGCUGUGACUCCGAGUUACAUAACGUACCAUGGUGUUCUUUCUGCCUUGCACAUCCACCUACCCGUCCCCAGCAGCUCAGUGCCCAGGAGGCAGACUUCGAUGGACUCUGCCUACACACUCCUGUGCCCUCGGGCUUCCAGUGCGCUCAGCUGGGCCACCACGUGAACGUCAGGGCCAGCACACACUUCUGAGCUCACUGCUGCAACCGGCUAACAAAAUUCCAGAUACCUGUCUGCCUGAGGCUACCAUUUACCGCCGAUAGGCUACAGAGAGCUUGGUUACAAGAAGUAGGUGUCAGGGUAACCAAGCCCCACAGACUGCCUGCCAGGCCCGUCGUCUUCCUGAAGCAACCGCGCAGCGAGCCGGUGACACAGAGCCACGUGGCAGGCGCAUCAGGAAGAUCCUUGGUUGCAAACAACAUCCAUUUUGAUUGGGAUUGAGGGAAGUAGGAUCCCAGAAACUCUAGGAUUGUGAGAGAAUCAGGCUUGUAAGCCCGAACUGGGCCAGAGCUGGGUCUAGGGCGCUCCCCUGGGACCGUGGUCACUGCACUCCUGAAGCCUGGAAGUCUCCACGUCCUCACUGGAAUGGAUUCCCUGCUGUGCCUGUGCCUGUGCCUGUGCCUUGACUGUUCCAAAUCAAACUCUUUUGUGAGUGCAUCGUUGCAUCCCCACUCCCUGGCUGCAGGAACACCUUUCUGUCUCAGAAGGUCCCCUGCUCCAAUGAGGAUGCCCUGAGAGGCUGCACUUGCAAUGAUUUUCUGCUGAGACACUGAGUCCUUGAGCGGGACUCAGACGCCAACACUCUGAGCGAAGAACAGGCCCCAGGGAGAGGCGGCAGCACUGGAGGAAGGAUGUGCUCUGACAGGGAGAAACGGGGGGCCCCAGAGGUCUGCACCCCUUCCACAAUUCUGCUCAAGGCCAAAGCUGGGCCAGGAAGAGGUACUGAUCCACCUUAAGAGAAGCAGGAGGAAAACGGCUGCUUCCGCCAUCUGGCCAGGUGGGCAGGUAUUGCCAGCUACUGCGGACUUUGCAGGAUAAAAAGUUGCUAGUAGUUGUUAAACGAUUAUGUGCGUGUGGCCUUUUAACAUUUUUUGCAAGUCAAUGUACCCCAUUUACAACGAUGUCUAAAUAUAUAUGUAUCUUGAUAAAGACUGGA